rnacentral:misc_RNA from 1 species
CUAUAUCGAGUGACAAACUUAGUAUAUUCAAAAGGUUUUCUCUUGUAAAUGUUUGUGACGUAGUAAAAGUUACGAAUGGUUCCACAUAUUACUUAAGAACUAACUAAAGUUGCUAAUGAAGAACUAACUAUAGUUCGUUCAAGUAUAAUGGACCAACAGCGUGGUGGCUGUGUGAGCCAUAUGAAAAACAUUAUGACAGUGCUGCGGUGAAGGUAUCUAAGUGGCGAGGUGGCCAUUUAGAUAGUUAAAGAGGGACUGUCUGUAGAGCGAGGUGGCCGAACAGACAAUAAAAGGCGAGGUGGCCUUAUAAACUAUAUAGGGGCGAGGUGGCUAUUUCAUUAAUAUUGGGUCAGUUUAGUAAACAGCGUGGAGG